GAUGAACGCUGGCGGCGUGCCUAAUACAUGCAAGUCGAGCGAACGGACGAGAAGCUUGCUUCUCUGAUGUUAGCGGCGGACGGGUGAGUAACACGUGUAUCACCUCCCUAUCAUACUGGGAUAACUUCGGGAAACCGUAGCUAAUACCGGAUAAUAUUUUGAACCGCAUGGUUCAAAAGUGAAAGACGGUCUUGCUGUCACUUAUAGAUGGAUCCGCGCUGCAUUAGCUAGUUGGUAAGGUAACGGCUUACCAAGGGAACUAUGCAUAGCCGACCUGAGAGGGGGAUCGGCCACACUGGAACUGAGACACGGUCCAGACUCCUACGGGAGGCAGCAGUAGGGAAUCUUCCGCAAUAGGCGAAAGCCUGACGGAGCAACGCCGCGUGAGUGAUGAAGGUCUUCGGAGCGUAAAACUCUGUUAUUAGGGAAGAACAUAUGUGUAAGUAACUGUGCACAUCUUGACGGUACCUAAUCAGAAAGCCACGGCUAACUACGUG
rnacentral:rRNA from 1 species